GACGAACGCUGGCGGCGUGCUUAACACAUGCAAGUCGAACGGAAAGGCCCUGCUUUUGUGGGGUGCUCGAGUGGCGAACGGGUGAGUAACACGUGAGUAACCUGCCCUUGACUUUGGGAUAACUUCAGGAAACUGGGGCUAAUACCGGAUAGGAGCUCCUGCUGCAUGGUGGGGGUUGGAAAGUUUCGGCGGGUGGGGAUGGACUCGCGGGUUAUCAGCUUGUGGGUGGGGUAGUGGCUUACCAAGGCUUUGACGGGUAGCCGGCCUGAGAGGGUGACCGGCCACAUUGGGACUGAGAUACGGCCCAGACUCCUACGGGAGGCAGAAGUGGGGAAUAUUGCACAAUGGGCGGAAGCCUGAUGCAGCAACGCCGCGUGCGGGAUGACGGCCUUCGGGUUGUAAACCGCUUUCGCCUGUGACGAAGCGUGAGUGACGGUAAUGGGUAAAGAAGCACCGGCUAACUACGUG
rnacentral:rRNA from 1 species